rnacentral:lncRNA from 11 species
CAUCCAUGGAUCCUGUGGCAAGAAGAAGAGUAUCAGCUUGUCUAGGGAGUUGUUCAUUCAGGCAAUGACCAUACAGUUGUUAAUUAUGAAAGGCAAUCUGAUUCAUUCCCACCUUGAGACCCUGAUAUCAACAUUCACCUGAGCCCAUCAAAAUAGUCAAUCUACAUAAUGGAAAAAAUUGAAAAAUCCUGAGGUCAGAACCAAAGAACAUCACUUCAUAAUGCACCUUCUGUACAUGAUUGGAGCACAACAAUGGAAUGAAGUAGCCAAAAGAGAAUCAGCUUUGAUUAAUGGCAACCAAAUGAAAAAGAAACCUCCAAGAGAUCUAUCAUCAACAACUCUGCACUGCUCAGAUCCUGCUAACUGAUGAUUUACUUCACCAAAGUGCAUUGUGAGUAG